AUUGAACGCUGGCGGCAUGCUUUACACAUGCAAGUCGGACGAGUGGCGAACGGGUGAGUAAUAUAUUGGAACGUACCGAGUAAUGGGGGAUAACCAAUCGAAAGAUUGGCUAAUACCGCAUAGUAUUCGAGAGGCCAAUAUCUGAUUAGCUAGUUGGUGUGGUAAAGGCCUACAAAGGCGAAGAUCAGUAGCGGGUCUGAGAGGAUGAUCCGCCACACUGGGACUGUGAAACGUCCCAGCCUCGUCCGGGAGGCAGAAGUGGGGAAUUUUGGCCAAUGGGGGCAAGCCUGAUCCAGCCAUGCCGCGUGUCUGAAGAAGGCCUUCGGUUUGUAAAGGACUUUUGUUAGGGAAGCGGUACCGAAAGAAUAAGCACCGGCUAACUACGUGCCAGCAGCCGCGGUAAUAC
rnacentral:rRNA from 1 species